CACUCAUUCAAAGAGUGCGUAAUAGCUCACUGGUCGAGUGAUCCUGCGCCGAAGAUUUCCGGGGCUAAAACUUACUACCGAAGCUACGGCAUCAGUAAUGAUGGGUAGGGGAGCUUCCCAUACGGGUUGAAGCAUGACCGUAAGGACAUGGGGACAGUAUGGGAGUGAGAAUGUUGGCAUGAGUAGCGAGAUGUGGGUGAGAAUCCCACAGGCCGUAAACCCAAGGUUUCCAGGGGAAGGUUCGUCCGCCCUGGGUUAGUCGGGACCUAAGCUGAGGCCGAAAGGCGUAGGUGAUGGACAACAGGUUGAUAUUCCUGUACUACCGAUAACCGUUUGAGAGAUGGGAUGACACAGUAGGAUAAGCUAAGCACACUGUUGGUUAUGUGUGCCCAAGCAUUGAGGCAGUCAAAGUAGG
rnacentral:rRNA from 1 species